rnacentral:tRNA from 1 species
AGUCUAAGGGUGUGAAGAGAGCAUCCCCCGGUGCAAACGGGGGGGUCGGAUGUGCAUUUCCUCCGUUAGGUCA